UACGUAGGGGGCAAGCGUUGUCCGGAAUCAUUGGGCGUAAAGAGCGUGUAGGCGGCCCGAUAAGUCCGCUGUGAAAGUCCAGGGCUCAACCCUGGGAUGCCGGUGGAUACUGUCGGGCUCGAGUCCGGAAGAGGAGUGUGGAACUCCUGGUGUAGCGGUGAAAUGCGCAGAUAUCAGGAGGAACACCAAUGGCGAAGGCAGCACUCUGGGACGUGACUGACGCUGAGACGCGAAAACGUGGGGAGCAAACAGG
rnacentral:rRNA from 1 species